AGAGUUUGAUCCUGGCUCAGGAUGAACGCUAGCGACAGGCUUAACACAUGCAAGUCGAGGGGCAGCACAGGUAGCAAUACCGGGUGGCGACCGGCGCACGGGUGAGUAACGCGUAUGCAACUUGCCUAUCAGAGGGGGAUAACCCGGCGAAAGUCGGACUAAUACCGCAUGAAGCAGGGGCCCCGCAUGGGGAUAUUUGCUAAAGAUUCAUCGCUGAUAGAUAGGCAUGCGUUCCAUUAGGCAGUUGGCGGGGUAACGGCCCACCAAACCGACGAUGGAUAGGGGUUCUGAGAGGAAGGUCCCCCACAUUGGUACUGAGACACGGACCAAACUCCUACGGGAGGCAGCAGUGAGGAAUAUUGGUCAAUGGGCGUAAGCCUGAACCAGCCAAGUCGCGUGAGGGAUGAAGGUUCUAUGGAUCGUAAACCUCUUUUAUAAGGGAAUAAAGUGCGGGACGUGUCCCGUUUUGUAUGUACCUUAUGAAUAAGGAUCGGCUAACUCCGUGCCAGCAGCCGCGGUAAUACGGAGGAUCCGAGCGUUAUCCGGAUUUAUUGGGUUUAAAGGGUGCGUAGGCGGCCUUUUAAGUCAGCGGUGAAAGUCUGUGGCUCAACCAUAGAAUUGCCGUUGAAACUGGGGGGCUUGAGUAUGUUUGAGGCAGGCGGAAUGCGUGGUGUAGCGGUGAAAUGCAUAGAUAUCACGCAGAACCCCGAUUGCGAAGGCAGCCUGCCAAGCCAUUACUGACGCUGAUGCACGAAAGCGUGGGGAUCAAACAGGAUUAGAUACCCUGGUAGUCCACGCAGUAAACGAUGAUCACUAGCUGUUUGCGAUACACUGUAAGCGGCACAGCGAAAGCGUUAAGUGAUCCACCUGGGGAGUACGCCGGCAACGGUGAAACUCAAAGGAAUUGACGGGGGCCC
rnacentral:rRNA from 1 species